UAGCCGUAAACGAUACUCGCUAGGUGUCGGCCACGGUGCGACCGUUGUCGGUGCCGUAGGGAAGCCGUGAAGCGAGCCACCUGGGAAGUACGGCCGCAAGGCUGAAACUUAAAGGAAUUGGCGGGGGAGCACCACAAGAGGUGGAGGCUGCGGUUCAAUUGGACUCAACGCCGGAAACUCAUCGGGAGCGACAGCAGUAUGAUUGCCAGGUUGAUGACCUUGCCUGAAUCGCUGAGAGGAGGUGCAUGGCGUAGACGUCU
rnacentral:rRNA from 1 species